AUCUUCGGGGCAAGGUGUAAUUCCUUACCGGCGGUAGAGCCCGCGAACCUUUUUUCCGGUUUUACUUGGGAAAAGGGCCGACCCGGUGAAUUUCCGGGGCCGACAGUGACAGUCUGGAUGAGAGAAGAA
rnacentral:ncRNA from 1 species